CCUACGGGUGGCAGCAGUGAGGAAUAUUGGUCAAUGGACGAGAGUCUGAACCAGCCAAGUAGCGUGAAGGAUGACUGCCCUAUGGGUUGUAAACUUCUUUUAUAUGGGAAUAAAAUGUUCCACGUGUGGGAUUUUGUAUGUACCAUAUGAAUAAGGAUCGGCUAACUCCGUGCCAGCAGCCGCGGUAAUACGGAGGAUCCGAGCUUUAUCCGGAUUUAUUGGGUUUAAAGGGAGCGUAGGUGGAUUGUUAAGUCAGUUGUGAAAGUUUGCGGCUCAACCGUAAAAUUGCAGUUGAGACUGGCAGUCUUGAGUACAGUAGAGGUGGGCGGAAUUCGUGGUGUAGCGGUGAAAUGCUUAGAUAUCACGAAGAACUCCGAUUGCGAAGGCAGUUCACUGGACUGCAACUGACACUGAGGCUCGAAAGUGUGGGUAUCAAACAGGAUUAGAUACCCUUGUAGUC
rnacentral:rRNA from 1 species